rnacentral:rRNA from 1 species
AGUGAACGCUGGCGGUAGGCCUAACACAUGCAAGUCGAACGGCAGCACAGUAAGAGCUUGCUCUUACGGGUGGCGAGUGGCGGACGGGUGAGGAAUACAUCGGAAUCUACUUUUUCGUGGGGGAUAACGUAGGGAAACUUACGCUAAUACCGCAUACGACCUACGGGUGAAAGCAGGGGAUCUUCGGACCUUGCGCGAUUGAAUGAGCCGAUGUCGGAUUAGCUAGUUGGCGGGGUAAAGGCCCACCAAGGCGACGAUCCGUAGCUGAUCUGAGAGGAUGAUCAGCCACACUGGAACUGAGACACGGUCCAGACUCCUACGGGAGGCAGCAGUGGGGAAUAUUGGACAGUGGGCGCAAGCCUGAUCCAGCCAUACCGCGUGGGUGAAGAAGGCCUUCGGGUUGUAAAGCCCUUUUGUUGGGAAAGAAAAGCAGCAGGUUAAUACCCCGCUGUUCUGACGGUACCCAAAGAAUAAGCACCGGCUAACUUCGUG